AGUGAGGUGAGAGCAAGUGACAGAUACUCAUUCUGAGCUGAGUGACUGGAUGAACCCAUCUAGCAAAAUGGCGAAAUUUGCUCUGAUUGUGUUGUGCCGGUGUUUACGGUUCGGUUUUUGAAAAUUGAAUUUUAAAGUAACGAGUGAAAAUUGUGCCCCGUCCUGGACAAUUAUCGGAUUGUACGGUGUUAGCAAGCUGAUCAAUUAGAAAAAAAAGGACAAAUUUGGCUACAAAAGUGGAAAUUCCAGCCACAGAGAAUUCCAGCCCAGCCCGGAUUUCAGAAACAGCAUCAAACUGGAGCAACAAAAAUUCGAACAGCAUGCAGGGGCAACUGCUGUCUCACAAAUCGGUGCGCAAAAAAGCUUCCGAGUAUCUGCGACAACCUUAGCAGCUAUUUCAGGUUUCCCGAAAUGAGAAAAAACCAGGUUUGGACCAUGGAAACAAUCAGUCGUAUCAUCGGUGUUCAAGUUCGUCUUGCGCUUUUCGAUGGAAUCCAUUUAACUAUUCCGUCCAGUCUGUUUGUUCAUUUCGUUCUUUAUACGACGGAAGAAGAUACCUCGGAACACCGGAUAUACCGGUGGUGACGACUAGAAAGACGAUCUGUGGGAUUUAAAACCGAAUCUGUGAUGAGACCGAAAAUACCGAUGUAUGUAUGUGAAGUGGGAUGUAAGUGACGGCUUCCCCCCAGCGACGGGAAUGUGUUCCGAAAAAGCGUAGGGUUAAUAGUGGCACGUUAUCCAAACAAACGGGAAAAUGGUGCCCUAUAAUAUCGGAUUAAUGGAACAUGAUUUGAAUCUGAUACAAAUAAAGAACAAGUAAAAUGA